rnacentral:rRNA from 1 species
UCCAGAGAACUUAGCAGAGAUGCUUUGGUGCCUUCGGGAACUCUGAGACAGGUGCUGGCAUGGCUGUCGUCAGCUCGUGUUGUGAAAUGUUGGGUUAAGUCCCGNAACGAGCGCAACCCUUAUCCUUUGUUGCCAGCGGUUCGGCCGGGAACUCAAAGGAGACUGCCGGUGAUAAACCGGAGGAAGGUGGGGAUGACGUCAAGUCAUCAUGGCCCUUACGGCCAGGGCUACACACGUGCUACAAUGGCGCAUACAAAGAGAAGCGACCUCGCGAGAGCAAGCGGACCUCAUAAAGUGCGUCGUAGUCCGGAUUGGAGUCUGCAACUCGACUCCAUGAAGUCGGAAUCGCUAGUAAUCGUAGAUCAGAAUGCUACGGUGAAUACGUUCCCGGGCCUUGUACACACCGCCCGUCACACCAUGGGAGUGGGUUGCAAAAGAAGUAGGUAGCUUAACCUUCGGGAGGGCGCUUACCACUUUGUGAUUCAUGACUGGGGUGAAGUCGUAACAAGGUAGGCGUAGCGAG